rnacentral:rRNA from 1 species
UACGAAGGGGGCGAGCGUUGUUCGGAAUUACUGGGCGUAAAGGGCGCGUAGGCGGCGACUCAAGUUAGAUGUGAAAGUCCUGGGCUUAACCUGGGGACUGCAUUUGAUACUGGGUUGCUUGAAUUCGGGAGAGGAUAGCGGAAUUCCCAGUGUAGAGGUGAAAUUCGUAGAUAUUGGGAAGAACACCGGUGGCGAAGGCGGCUAUCUGGACCGACAUUGACGCUGAGGCGCGAAAGCGUGGGGAGCCACCCGG